AUUAAAUUGAAAGAGACUGACCGACUGACAGAGACUCUGAUAAACAAAGAGAGACUGGAGCCAAUUAGAAAAAGAAGCAGAAGAAGAAGGAAGAUGAAGCCGACUAAAAAGAGUUCCCUACGACUUUUUGAUUAACAAUGCCUUCGACGGGUUUCUAUUUUUUCUCUAACUUUUUUUUUCCCACAAAUUUAAAGUUAAAUUAGUUUUGCUAUAUGUUUUCCACUUAUACAAUUGCAGUCAGAUUUUGGUUCCAGAAAUUAGGGUUAAGGAAAUUGGAAUUAUGAUUGUGGCUAUUUCUAUUAAAUAUUUACGGUAAUGGGUUUGUUUGAAUUCUUCUCUUUUGGAUUUAAAUCAUUCAAUUUCUUCCCUCUGCAACAAUAAAGUGGAAUCUUUCUACAAUCUAGAGUCUCUAAUUUAAUCAAAGUAAAAGUCUCAAUUAAUUUUCCUAAUAUUCUCUUCGAUUAUGGUUUGCUGUCAAUUUAGGAAUUUGGAUUCAUAACCCUUUCCUCUCUAUUCGUUAAAAUUAGGGAAAACCCCUCAAAAUAUGAAAAUCCUACCUGAGUUAUAAUGGCCUCUUACCUGUUCUGUUUUUAUUGCAAGGGGGAGUGAAAUUGUGGGAUUUUGAAAUCUGAUAGUAUAACUUUCUUUACACUAAGUUUAUUACUUUGUAGAUUUUAGUUGAUAUUUUUUUUAAAGAGACUUUUUAGGUCUUAUUUUUUUAUUUUUAAUGUUGGGUUAAUGGGUUUAAAUUGUGAAAUCUGAAAGUAUAAUAGUAAAAGGAAUUGCAGCCAGUUCUAAAGUUUUGUUUUGUUUUGUUUUUUGUUUGUUUGUUUUUUUUUUUUUUUUUUUUUUUUUUUUUUUUUUCUCAAAUUUCAAUUACGUUUGUUAGUUUACUUUGCUAAAUGUGAAUCAAUAUUGGAUAGAUUAAAUCAAUCAUCAUAGAGAGCAGAUUGAAUCAAUAUUAGAUUUUUGAUUCAAUAUUUAGGCUUCUCUGUUUGUGUUUGGCUUUUGGUGGGCAUUCGGAUUGGCAUAUACAUUGAAUUUAUAUGUAUGACAUUGAAAUUUCUGAUUCAAUAUUUUGGUUUAUCUGUUUGUGUUUGGCUUUUGGUGGGCAUCCGGAUUGGCAUAUACAUUGAAUUUAGAUGUAUGACAUUGAAAUUUCCAUUGUAAUGUGGCAACUGUGAAAUGAUAAGGGAAUGGGCAUUAGUUAUGAAUAUUAUGGUCAUUGGAAAAGACAAUUCUGAGGCUUUAGCACUUAGAUUUUAUCUAUUAAUAUUCUUCAGAUUUUUUUUCUUUCUUACUCUUUUUCCAUGCUUGACCCGUUCUUUUUUCCUCCAAUACAUGAUGCUUCUUUUUCUCCCAAUUUAUCUAUCAUUGGUUUUUCUAUCUGUGAAUAGAGCAGAAAGUAGGUAGGCAAUCUGUCACUAACACAGGUUUUAUUACUUUUUAAGGACUUCACCUUUCUUAUAUGAGACACACUGUACUUUUUUAUAUUUGUGUUUAGGACUUACUAUUACUUCUGUUAAAUACCUUUACGUAUUGAUCUUAUUUUAAAAUAUUUUUUAUCCCAUUUUUUAGUGUGUACUGCCAUGCACAUGAUCAUGAAGAUUAGUUUUCUGGUGGUUAAUAAUUAUAUGUUAUUGAAUCACACUUAAUACAGAAUACCUCUUUGGCCUUCAAAUAGUGACAUGCAUUGAGAUCUCAAAUGAUACGGUUUAUGUAUACUGUUUAUCUUUUUUUUUUGGAGAAAGAUUGUUUAUUUUAUUUGAUUGUUAGAUUACCAAAAUCUUCAAAAAAAAUUUCAUUUUUUCUCCUCUGAUUUUUAAUUCAAUUACUUCUUCAUUCUGCAACCUUUGAAAUGAUUUGGUUUUGCUUGGAAUAUUUGGAUUCGUUUUUUUAGGGUACUCUAGACUUAUAAUUCAAAGGCUAUGAAAUUUAGAUUUUUUUAAUAGUUGGGCUUCUCAUUAAUAUACAAUAGAUUUAUCUUAACUGUGUUAACAAUGUUGCAUGACUGUUGACUGAGUUUUUUAGAAUGAUACAUGUUUGAAAACAUGUCUUAUAGACUUGCAUUUUAUUUCCUUAGUAUUAUGUUGUUUAGAAAAUAUAUACCUGCAAAACGAAUCCUCUGACUUUUAAUACCAUUAAGAUUAUUGCACUAUUGACUCAUAAAAUAGAUGCCUACAAAAGAGAAAGCAAAGGGUAGCCCAUAGCUGUAUGAUGCCAUUUACUAUAUCUUUGAUCCUUUUUUCUUUUCUUUUUUUCUUGGUAAUAUGUUUGAAAUAUGGCUAAAGGAAUACCUCCAGACCACAGCCACCCCCUUAUACUUUUAAGGGCCAGAAUAUAAAUGAAAACAACAUGGAAAGUGUACCAAUAGUAGGUUUACAUAAAUAACUUUUUAGAGUAAACUUACUAGAAUUAAGAUACUUACUUCAAUGCUUUUGACUGGCUUUGUAUAGGGUGAUUUCUUAGGUUUUGUAUGUCUAAAUAUUGUAGUGCUCUUUACGCUUAAACUCACAUGGCUCAAUCAAAAUAUAUAACUAAAGGAUCCUAUUGUGCAUCUUUGAUUCUUAAAGGGAAUUUUCAUGUUGAUGAUCAUGAUCAUCUCUUUAGAAGUAUUUGGAUUCAAUUAGUUUUUGUUUUGGACUGGACUGAACUGAAUUGUAAAACCAUAGUAUAAUUCAGUUAGGUUUUUCCCAUCAAUUUUCACAGUGAAAGCUCCUACCUAUGCCUUGGAAUUUUUUUAAGAGCAUGCUCUGUAAGUACUUUUAUUCUGUUUUGAGAUGAUUAAAGCUUUAUCACAUUUAUCUCAUUGGAAUUUUGGCUUAGUUAAAAAAAGGGGCAACAAGGUAUAUAAAUGUGCACAUGCAUAAAUAUUUGUAUGUAUCAGUCCUGCCAAUUUGUAGUAAAGAAUUAUUAUCUUCAACUAUAAGAUUU